rnacentral:rRNA from 1 species
CUUUUGGAACGCAAGUUUGCGCCCGAUGCCAUUAGGUUGAGGGCACGUCUGCCUGGGUGUCACAUAUCGAAGCCUCUUGCCAAUUUUCCUUUGACUAUUGUGCAGGGUGGAUGUUGGCCUCCCGUGAGCUCUUUCGUCUCAUGGUUGGUUGAAAAUUGAGACCUUGGUAGGGUGUGCCAUGAUAGAUGGUGGUUGUGUGACCCACGAGACCAAUCAUGCGCCGCUUUAUUGAAUUUGGCCUCCUUUACCCAUAUGCGUUUCUAAACGCUCGUGUUGAGACCUCAGGUCAGGCGGGGCUACCCGCUGAAUUUAAGCAUAUCAAUAAGCGGAGGAAAAGAAACUAACAAGGAUUCCCCUAGUAACGGCGAGCGAACCGGGAUAAGCCCACCAUGAGAAUCGGUCGCCCUCGGCGUUCGAAUUGUAGUUGAAAAAAACCGUCAAAAGGG